rnacentral:misc_RNA from 1 species
GGGCAACAACAACAAGCUAGCCACAACAACAACAACAACAACAACAAGUCGACCAACAACAACAACAACAACAACAACAACUCGAGCAACAACAACAACAACAACAACAACAAGGAUCCAAAACAGACCACCAUGGUACGUUUCAAGGCUUGAGCCCUCGUCACUGCCCUGUGGGGCAAGGUGACUCUGGAAGAAGUUGGUGGUGAGGCCCUGGGCAGGCUGCAGAGUGUGAGGGAAGGUCUGGUUGUCUACCAA